rnacentral:rRNA from 1 species
CUCUGUGACUCCUACGGGAGGCAGCAGUGGGGAAUAUUGGACAAUGGGGGAAACCUGAUCCAGCAAUGCCGCGUGAGUGAUGAAGGCCUUAGGGUUGUAAAGCUCUUUUACCAGGGAUGAUAAUGACAGUACCUGGAGAAUAAGCUCCGGCUAACUCCGUGCCAGCAGCCGCGGUAAUACGGAGGGAGCUAGCGUUGUUCGGAAUUACUGGGCGUAAAGCGCACGUAGGCGGUUACUCAAGUCAGAGGUGAAAGCCCGGGGCUCAACCCCGGAACUGCCUUUGAAACUAGGUAACUAGAAUCCUGGAGAGGUGAGUGGAAUUCCGAGUGUAGAGGUGAAAUUCGUAGAUAUUCGGAAGAACACCAGUGGCGAAGGCGGCUCACUGGACAGGUAUUGACGCUGAGGUGCGAAAGCGUGGGGAGCAAACAGGAUUAGAUACCCUGUAG